rnacentral:rRNA from 1 species
ACUCCUACGGGAGGCUGCAGUGGGGAAUAUUGCGCAAUGGGCGGAAGCCUGACGCAGCGACGCCGCGUGGGGGAUGACGGCCUUCGGGUUGUAAACCUCUUUCGGCCUUGACGAAGCUCUUCGGGGUGACGGUAGGGGUAGAAGAAGCACCGGCCAACUACGUGCCAGCAGCCGCGGUAAUACGUAGGGUGCGAGCGUUGUCCGGAAUUAUUGGGCGUAAAGAGCUCGUAGGCGGUCUGUCGCGUCGGUCGUGAAAACUUGGGGCUUAACCCUGAGCUUGCGGUCGAUACGGGCAUGACUGGAGUUCGGCAGGGGAGACUGGAAUUCCUGGUGUAGCGGUGAAAUGCGCGGAUAUCAGGAGGAACACCGGUGGCGAAGGCGGGUCUCUGGGCCGAUACUGACGCUGAGGAGCGAAAGCGUGGGGAGCGAACAGGAUUAGAUACCCUGGUAGUCCACGCCGUAAACGGUGGGCGCUAGGUGUGGGGGCCAUUCCACGGUCUCUGUGCCGCAGCUAACGCAUUAAGCGCCCCGCCUGGGGAGUACGGCCGCAAGGCUAAAACUCAAAGGAAUUGACGGGGGCCCGCACAAGCGGCGGA